UUGGAGUAAAACACGGUGGAAGCUGAAUUAGUGAGGAUGACUCCUGCUCCUGUCAUCUCUAAGCUCCUCACACAUCUUUACCUGCACAUGAGGAAACUCACUCCUGUAGAAUGCAGUGGUUCAUCAGAACCUCUGGGGAUGUCCUGUGGAUUCUGUGGAUCCUGUGGGUUGCAGGGUGGAUCCUACCUGGACCAGGCUGAUCCUGGACCAUCCCACAGAUGCUCAAUCAGAUGUGGAUGUGGGGAGUGUGGAACCCAGAUGUUCAGAGGGAGAUGAUGCCACAUCUGGUCCAGCUGAUGGAAGGUCUUGAAGUUCUCUGACUGACCUCGACUGAAGAUGGUCGUCUCACUGGAUUUAAGGUUCAGAUGCUCAGUAACAAACUCCACCAAUGAGCCAACAGGUAAACUUUAGGUUUAUUAAAUGUUGCUAUGAAGGUUUCGCUGUUUUUCUUUGUGAAUGCAAUGUGCUCCAACUGAAACUUGAAUUAGAACUUAGAAGUAAAUCCUUCCAUCUGAAAGGAUUUAGUUGCAUUAAUAACCUCAUAACAUUCUAAUUUUUAUUCCAGUCUUGGUUGAUAAUAGAAUCUCUGUAUUGAUUCAGGUAAAAACUGAACUUCACAGCAUGUUGGAGAAAAACAACCAGAUGAAAACUGUGAUGGUGUUGGAUUGUCAGACCGUAAUGUUGCAGCUCAAAGCAGCUUUUCUAUCUCAGUUCAUUCUGACAUUCAGCUAUGAAUCAACACAGCAGAUGGUGAUCCAUGCUGUGGAAGUCUCACAUCUCCUGAUUUAAUGGAGCUGCUUUGCACUUUUUACAGUUUAUUCACCAACACUUUAUUUAAUAAAAGUCCCAUCUAGUUUUUAUGAGGAAUGUGAUGUUUUAAUUUCUCUGUGAAUAACUGCAGUCUAAUGCAACAGCUGGAGUUGUAACAUCUGUCCUGAUAUUUAUCAUGAAGUAUUGAUCAGAAUACUUAUGGUUAGCAGUCAUCCCUGAAGUUUUACAUUAAAAUCUUUACUUGUGUUGUGAACUUUGGUAAGAAGCAGAAAUUUUAGCGUUGCCAUGGAUACAUGAGUGUUAAAUUCUGUCCAUGUUUCCAUUUUGGGAAAUUCAGUCCAGUUCCAGAAUGUGGAGGAAUUUAGUCUCACAAUUACAGACAACAAAUAUUAUCUGAAAGUCGGGUUAUUGUUGUUUAUCAGCACAAUACAAAAAGAUUAAUGUUAGAAAUAUUCCAGUUCAGACUCUAGAAUAUCAUGAUUUAUGUAAAUUUACCUCAAUAAUAUGAACGUUCAGGUUAAGAUUGUACAGUGAUAUUAAUUUUGUAAGUUUAGCUGAUUAAAGUUUAUGACUCUGCACUAAAAUAUUAUUUAAAUUGACAUCAUUAUUAUAAUAUUUAGGGUCAGACCCUACAGUAUUGAGAUUAAGAAAUCAAAUAUUCUAUAAAAUGUAAAUACACUGAACUCAUUUGGAUAUAUUUAAGUGAAACUCUACCAUAUUAUUUGACACAAAUCUAUCUAAAUCAAAAUUUCAAUAAUUUUCACGCCAAACAUUUACUGGACUGAUUUAAACAUUAAAAUCACUCCUUUCCAAUCCUCUGCUGUACGUUCAAACCUGAGGCCUUAAAUAGAAACACACAAGUAUCUGAUUGAAGGAACUUCUGCAGAGUCCUGGUUCCAGAACAUGAUGAUAGAAUUAUAGACAAACUUUAACAAAAGCUGCCUGAGAGUUUACAGGUUUUUAUGUUGGAUUUCUUCAGUAAUUUAAAGAGAGUUAUCAGCAAAAAUCAAGUGUUCAUUUGAUGAACUUCAUUUCCUCAAACAUCCAGAAUUGGAGCUCAUAUCUUUGGCAGCUGUAAAGUUUCUGCUCCUUCAAAGUUGAUAACACAAUGAAUGAAUUCCUAAAACACUCUCAAUGCUGGAGAGUGUUUGUGAUGCUGAAGCAGUGACCAGUUUUUCUGUUUCUUCUCUGGAGAUACACAAUGAGGGACGUCUGCAGAGACUGAGAAAGAGUCUCACCACAUCCUGACAUGAGGAAAAAGACUUUAUUGAAGACUACAAUGAGAAAAACUAUCAGACAGCAGACGGCUGCAUUCAAGUCUGUAGCUGCUGAAUUCAUGGAUGAAUCAUCUGGCACUAGAGAAGAAGACCAUCAAACAUCCACGUCAGCUGAUGGAGGUCCAAGAGUCUCACCGAAGAACCAACCUACAGAGUGAAGACCUCAAAUCUGAUUGGACGGCCUCCUAUUCAGCCACA